rnacentral:rRNA from 1 species
GACAGAGGUGGCUAGCGUUGUUCGGUGUCACUGGGCUUAAAGGGUGUGUAGGCGGAAUUAUAAGCGUUUUGUUAAAGCCCCCGGCUUAACCGGGGAAUCGCAGGACGGACUGUAAUUCUUGAGGCAAGUAGGGGUGCACGGAACUCUUGGUGGAGCGGUGGAAUGCGUAGAUAUCAAGAGGAACGCCGGUGGUGAAGACGGUGCACUGGGCUUGUCCUGACGCUGAGACACGAAAGCGUGGGGAGCAAACGGG